rnacentral:rRNA from 1 species
UUGAUCCUGGCUCAGAAUCAACGCUGGCGGCGCGCUUAACACAUGCAAGUCGAACGAGAAAGCGGAGCAAUCCGUGAGUAAAGUGGCGUACGGGUGAGUUACACGUGGAUGAUCUACCUCUUAGUGGGGGAUAACCUUGGGAAACCGGGUCUAAUACCGCAUAAGCCUGAAAAGGGAAAGGAGCAAUUCGCUGAGAGAGUAGUCCGCGGCUGAUUAGCUAGUUGGUGAGGUAACGGCCCACCAAGGCAAUGAUCGGUAGCCGGCCUGAGAGGGCACACGGCCACACUGGCACUGAAACAUGGGCCAGACUCCUACGGGAGGCAGCAGUGGGGAAUCUUGCACAAUGGGGUCAACCCUGAUGCAGCGACGCCGCGUGAGCGAUGAAGCCCUUCGGGGUGUUAAGCUCUUUCGACGGGAACGAUAAUGACGGUACCCGGAGAAGAAGCUGCUGCUAACUACGUGCCAGCAGCCGCGGUAAUU